rnacentral:rRNA from 1 species
AUUGAACGCUGGCGGCAGGCCUAACACAUGCAAGUCGAACGAGUGGCGGACGGGUGAGUCAUGUCUGGAAAACUGCCUGAUGGAGAGGGCUAACUACUGGAAACGGUCGCUAAUACCGCAUACCAUCGGAUGUGCCACGAUGGGAUUAGCUAGUAGGUGGGGUAAAGGAUCACCUAGUAGACGAUCCCUAGCUGGUCUGAGAGGAGGACCAGCCACACUGGAACUGAGACACGUGCCAGACGCCGACGGGAGGCAGCAGUGGGGAAUAUUGAACAAGGGGCGCAAGCCUGAUGCAGCCAUGCCGCGUGUAUGAAGAAGGCCUGCGGGUUGUAAAGUACUUUCAGCGGGGAGGCGUUACCCGCAGAAGAAGCACAGGCUAACUCCGUGCCAGCAGCCGCGGUAAUAC